rnacentral:piRNA from 1 species
UGCUGUGCAGAUGGAUGACUGGAAGA